rnacentral:misc_RNA from 1 species
GAUGAAGAACGUAGCGAAAUGCGAUACGUAAUGUGAAUUGCAGAAUUCAGUGAAUCAUCGAGUCUUUGAACGCACAUUGCGCCCCCUGGUAUUCCGGGGGGCAUGCCUGUCCGAGCGUCAUUGCUGCCCUCAAGCACGGCUUGUGUGUUGGGCCUCCGUCCUCCUCCCGGGGGACGGGCCCGAAAGGCAGCGGCGGCACCGCGUCCGGUCCUCGAGCGUAUGGGGCUUCGUCACCCGCUCUUGUAGGCCCGGCCGGCGCUUGCCGACACAUCAAUCUUUUUUCCAGGUUGACCUCGGAUCAGGUAGGGAUACCCGCUGAACUUAAGCAUAUCAAUAAGCGAGGA